rnacentral:rRNA from 1 species
CCCUUAGAUGUUCUGGGCUGCACGCGUGCUACACUGAUAUUGCCAAUAUGUCAUUCUUAUCCGAAAUGGAUUGGGUAAUCAAAUAAUGAAAUUUCAUGCUUGGAAUCGGUAAUUGCAAUUUUAUCGUGAACGAGGAAUUCCUAGUAAGCACUAGUCAUCAGCUAAUGUUGAUUAUGUCCCUGCCCUUUGUACACACCGCCCGUCGCUACUACUGAUUGGGUGUUCAAGUGAGAUGCUUAGACCCUUGUUGCAUGGUUCAUUAUUGUGCUCCGAAAGGAAAAAGUUUCAAGCUUGAGUGUCUAGAGGAAGUAAAAGUCGUAACA